rnacentral:tRNA from 1 species
GCAGUGGUGGUUUAGUGGUAGAAUUCUCUCCUUCCAUGUGGGAGACCUGUGUUUAGUUCCAGCCAGUGCA